CUCGUCGUGUUCUGAAAAUGC
rnacentral:siRNA from 1 species